rnacentral:rRNA from 1 species
UACGAAGGGGGCGAGCGUUGUUCGGAUUUACUGGGCGUAAAGGGCGCGUAGGCGGCCAUUCAAGUCAGGCGUGAAAGCCCCGGGCUCAACCUGGGAGGUGCGCUUGGGACUGGGUGGCUGGAGUUCGGGAGAGGAGAGUGGAAUUCCCAGUGUAGAGGUGAAAUUCGUAGAUAUUAGGAAGAACACCAGUGGCGAAGGCGGCUCACUGGUCCGGUACUGACGCUGAGGUGCGAAAGCGUGGGGAGCAAACAGG